CUUGAUCAUCCUUGCUGGUGCAGUAUAUUGACCGUUCUCCCACAAGCUCAAACAGCUGUUCUCCAUCUGGUCCAGUGUGGCACUGGUCAGCCCUCUUUUUGGAUUGAUCCUUGAGCUCAAGAGUCACUCUCCAGAGCUGAGUCGCUGAUCUUAAUUCUGAGUCACACUCACCCUUCAUCACAAAUAAAGGACACUUUUGCCCCAAGCUGGAGAUUAAGUGGAGGCAGCACAUGGCCAUGAGGGAGUUGACCCAAGAAGUCAUCACAGGAUUUCACUAGAAUAAAAAAAAAAUAGGAGUAAGACCUCCAUGUGAGGGUUACAGAGAGCAAUCGAGAAGCCAGAGAGUCGAGGUACCUGCACAUCUGGGGGCUUCAGGGCUCCAGUCUCCCUGGGGUGUGCAGUGCAGAGAAGCAGCCCCUCUGAGGUCAUAGCCGGGCUCACAGCUGUAGAACACUUCCUGCCCAGGUGAAAAGUUGACCUGAUUGCUUUGGGUAUGCUCACCAUGCAGAAUUUCUGGAGGUGGCUGACACACU